AAUAGACCAUGUUUCCAGGGUCAUCUAAAGUGUAAAACUUGAAAACAUGAAUAUAUAAGAAUAACAAGAAACAAAACAAAUAUUCAAUCACAUUUUGUUUCAUUUUUAUAGUUGUUUAAUUAAUUGAUGAGUGCUUUUACUCCCUGUUAUCUCGAAUUUUUGACCAUAUGCAUUUAAUGAUAAUUUGGUGCGUCACUUUAAAUAUGCAAUUAAAUAAAAUGGACGGAAAUAAUAAAUGGAAUGUAUCCAUGAAGGUCCAAAAUGAAUAUAUUAAAUAAGUUAAUAAAAUAUAUGAAGUGGUAAUUAAAUUACCUAUUUAAGCUUAUUUAAAGUCUUAACUUCAUAGGAUAUUUUAUUAACAAAAUGGGCAAAAUUGCCUUCAAAUUGAAUAAGGUUUCGAGUCUUGGCAUUUGAAGAAGUUCCAGACUUAUAAUUAUUUUCAUUAUGUCUAGCAGGCAUCAGCGAGAGAUUCGAAGGCAUGAUUCGAGCGACAGUUGCAGCGAAAGAGGCAGUUACUCUCUUUAAGCUUGAUCAGUAGAUCGUGGGUUCAUGGGCUUGAAAAGCUGGCGAAGCACGUUUGCACAAGCAGUUGUGUAUUCUUGUGCCUAUAAAUAGUAGUUCAUUUAGUUGGAAUAAGGGUCACAAUUCAUAUACAAAAUUCACAAACCUAAAGUAUCCAUGCGUUUGAGAGAAAAUGGUGAAGUGAAGAACAUGUAUGAAUUCGUGAACCAUUUACUUUCUUUGUAAAACUUUUACAUUUUUAUGCAAUUUUAAUAUUUCUUUUGCAAUUUAUCUUUUCAAAUUCUCUCGUUCGAGGGAAUCUUGUCUAAUUUACAUUUUUCUUUGUAAAUUAUUCUUUCAAACUGGUUUACCAAAUGUUUAUUUCAAUGAUGAACAUUAAAAUUUAUACACAAAACAUGUCCUAGGAUUUACUAGUUGGUCGUGCAAGUAAUUAAAUUAAACUAGCGAUUUUUUACGAAAAACCAGCGUAAACACCCCCAUAUAGAGAAAAUUUU
rnacentral:lncRNA from 1 species